rnacentral:rRNA from 1 species
CAGCAGCCGCGGGAAUACGAAGGGUGCAAGCGUUAAUCGGAAUUACUGGGCGUAAAGCGUGCGCAGGCGGUUUGUUAAGACAGAUGUGAAAUCCCCGGGCUCAACCUGGGAACUGCAUUUGUGACUGGCAGGCUAGAGUAUGGCAGAGGGGGGUGGAAUUCCGCGUGUAGCAGUGAAAUGCGUAGAUAUGCGGAGGAACACCGAUGGCGAAGGCAGCCCCCUGGGCCAAUACUGACGCUCAUGCACGAAAGCGUGGGGAGCAAACAGGAUUAGAUACCCCGGUAGUCCCUGUCUCUUAUAC